rnacentral:rRNA from 1 species
GGUGAACGCUGGCGGCGUGCCUAAUACAUGCAAGUCGAGCGAACGGACGAGAAGCUUGCUUCUCUGAUGUUAGCGGCGGACGGGUGAGUAACACGUGGAUAACCUACCUAUAAGACUGGGAUAACUUCGGGAAACCGGAGCUAAUACCGGAUGAUAUUUUGAACCGCAUGGUUCAAAAGUGAAAGACGGUCUUGCUGUCACUUAUAGAUGGAUCCGCGCUGCAUUAGCUAGUUGGUAAGGUAACGGCUUACCAAGGCAACGAUGCAUAGCCGACCUGAGAGGGUGAUCGGCCACACUGGAACUGAGACACGGUCCAUACUCCUACGGUAGGCAGCAGUAGGCAAUCUUCCGCAAUGGGCGAAAGCCUGACGGAGCAACGCCGCGUGAGAGAUGAAGGUCUUCGGAUCGUAAAACUCUGUUAUUAGGGAAGAACAUAUGUGUAAGUAACUGUGCACAUCUUGACGGUACCUAAUCAGAAAGCCACGGCUAACUACGUG